GCGACGGGUAGGCUCGGAGCAUGACCGGAGGCAAGCUCCGGCGUGCCACGCGGCACCUCGACCGGUGCUUCCACCGCCACCUCCUCCGUCAUGCCCCUGGCCACCAAGAUCGCCGUAGAGAAGCUGCGGUGCCGUGGAGGCCCGCACCGGUCCCGCCCUCUCCGCAGCACGGGACUCUAGUGCAUCGUCGAACGCCAUUUCCGCCGCCGCCGCCGGUGGCAUGAUCGUAGCCGUUGUGAUUCAGUUCCCUGUAGCGUACUCGGCCGAGGCCAUAAUUUGCUAAGCGUCCUCUGCUUGGAGUUUACUUAUAAGUAGGCAAGCAAUGUAACCACCAUUAAGCAUUUUCCCUUGUUCGUGAACUCGUGCCAGUACGCAGCGCACUUUCAGGUGAUCACUG
rnacentral:lncRNA from 1 species